ensembl:lncRNA
GCGGGAUCCCAUGUAUUCUUCAUGGAUAAGACAAUCCUAUAUUGCUCUGGAGCAAGCUCAAAAGAAGAGGAGAAAAAAAAAAACACAAAGUCACAUGCAUUACUGUUAUGAUAGCAUUAUGGUGUUAUUUAUAGUAAUCACUAUGAACUCUUGUCACAUGGAAAAGAACUGUUAUUUUUUUUUUUGAAAAACUGCAUUUAGAUUUGCACUGUGAUUUUCAUAUUUUUGGGUGAACUGUUCCUUUAAUAUUGGAACAUUAACUGAGGUAAAAAAAAUGGUGAAAGUCUCCCAGUUUCCGUGGAGUUUUCUGCAGUGCUGCGAUCAUGUGUGAAUUGUCUCUAACUUGAGUUGGGAGUGAAGUUAUAUUUCACCAGUGAGUUCAUGUGAGCAGCUCCACCCUCUGUUAUACUGUUUAUGAAAAGACACCCAAAACCAGCAGCAAUACGAGCCAUUUCUGCAGUGAUGCAACGCUGUCAAGUGACACAGCAGACGCAGGAGACACCCAGUGAGAUGAUACGUUACGGCCUUGUUAUUGCUGUUGUGAACUGUAAGGUUUCGACGUUCUCAUUGAUUCCAACCUCAAACCGUGGCUCUUGGAAGUGAACUUCUCUCCCUCACUGGCAUGCGUCAGAGCCUGCCAUCCGCCAACAGUGCCGACCCAGAAGCUCAGAGAGAGAAAGCUGGUGCUAAGCAAGCGGAGUGUACACGGAGUCUCACAGCAGAAGAGGUCAGUCUUUCUGAGUCUACAGCCGAUGGGCUUUUCAUGACUUCAGCCAAAUUUAUCUGAAGAUAGCAGGCUGAUGUGUGCUCUUUGUUCUUGGCUGCUCCUGACAUGUUUGAUAUUGAAGAACGUGAAAAGUUGUUUUUGAAAGAAGUCUCUUCUGCUCAGCAAGGCUGCUUUUAUUUGAUGAAAAAUAUGGUAAGAACAGCAAUAUUGUAAAAUAUUACAAUUUUAAAUUUUAUUUUGUAAUAUAUUUUCAAAUGUAAUUUUCCUUGUGAUACAAAGCUGAAUUUUCAGCAGCCAUUACUUCAGUCUUCAGUGUCACAUGAUGUUUGAGGGAAGAAAGAUAAAAUAGAGAUUAACACUUUUAUUAAGCAAGGAUGCAUUAAAUUGAUCAAAAGUGCCAUUUAGAACUUUCUGUUCAUCUGAAUCCUGAAAAAUAAAAAGUAUCACGGCUUCCACAAAAAUAUUGUGCAGCACGACUGUUUUCAACAUUGAUAAUAAUCAGAAAUGUUUCUUGAGCAGCAAAUCAUCAUAUUAGAAUGAUUUCUGAAGAUCAUGUGACACUGAAGACUGGAGUAAUGAUGCUGAAAAUACAGCUGCACAUCACAGAAAUAAAUUACAGUUUAACAGAGAUUCACACAGAAAACAGCUGUUUUAAAUUGUAAUAAUAUUUCUCAAUUUAAACUGUAUUUUUUGAUCAAAUUAGCCUUUCUGAGCAGAAGAGACUUCUUUCAAAAACAUUAAAAUCUUAAUUAUUCCAAACUUUUGACCAUUAAUGUAUGUUCUCUAAAUAUAAUGAAUGCAUAAUAUUAUUUACAGCUAUAUAAUUAUUGGUGUUGUUCAACAAAAUACAUGGAGCCGUUUUGGAAUUUUGCUAAUUUAAUACUACAGUCCACACUGCAGCUAAAUACAGUCGUUACUCAUUUACUUUUGCACACUGACACAUUGUUUGAGAAAUGUGCUCUGACUCAUUCUCAAACUUUGAUACAGUCUUUCUCCACUUCAUUUUCUCCUGUCAGCCCUGUGGUCUAGCAGCAGAUGAGAGAGCAUGCGGUUUAUUGAGCAGAAAUAAAACACAGAGCUUCUGCUGAUGGUGGUUUGAGAAAACUCUCUUGUCUGUGAUUGGUGAUUACUUUUGUGAAAAAAAUCGCUAACAGGUUUAAACUUAAUUAGAUGGUUUGAACUGUAAGCAUCACAAUGUCAACCAUUUG